rnacentral:rRNA from 1 species
GAUGAACGCUGGCAGAAUGCUUAACACAUGCAAGUCUUUGGCGAAGCUGUGCUUGCACAGCCUAUCCAAGGCGGACGGGUGAGUAACGCGUAAGGAACUUGCCCUGCAGUCAGGGAUAACAGACGGAAACGACUGCUAAGACCUGGUAAAGUCAUGUGUUCUCAUGUCUAGUUCGAUGAAGAGAGAUGCUGCAGGUGAGCCUUGCGUCCUAUUUGCUUGUGGGUGGGGUAACGGCCCACCAAGGCGAUGAUAGGUAGCCGGCCUGAGAGGGUGGACGGCCAGAAGGGGACUGAGGUACGGCCCUUACUCCUACGGGAGGCAGCAGUGAGGAAGAUUGAACAAUGGGGGCAACCCUGAUCCAGCAAUUCUGUGUGAACGAUGAAGGUUUUCGGAUUAUCAAGUGCGUUCGGAAGGGAAGAAAAAAUGACGGUACCUGCAGAAGAAGCGACGGCUAACUACGUG